rnacentral:rRNA from 1 species
UACGUAGGUGGCAAGCGUUGUCCGGAUUUACUGGGCGUAAAGAGCGCGCAGGCGGUCGUUCAAGUCGCGUGUGAAAGCCCCCGGCUCAACUGGGGAGGGUCACGCGAUACUGAUCGACUCGAAGGCAGGAGAGGGUAGUGGAAUUCCCGGUGUAGUGGUGAAAUGCGUAGAUAUCGGGAGGAACACCCGUAGCGAAGGCGGCACUCUGGGCCGGUACUGACGCUGAGGAGCGAAAGCGUGGGGAGCAAACAGG